rnacentral:lncRNA from 1 species
CUCCAUUUACUAAAGAAAUUAAAGCAAGUAACUUGCUAGUGAAGCAUCAGCCCUUCACAAUCUAACCAAUGGUCGGAACCCUGGUAACAAUCCCAUAGGUGUUAACCCAAACUCGAACCCUAGUGCACAAGAAAUCCGCUGUAACAAAUGAUCCUUCCAACACAAUCACAGCAUUGACAUGAGGAUUCUCCUUCUCAAUUCUUGCUGCUGCAUCCUCCCCUUUCUUCCCCACAAGCUCCGGCCAUGAACUUUUUCCUACAUAUAUAGUCACAUAUAUAAUUUGUUUUAAAGGAAAGGAAAUGAAAUUAUUAGUACAAUUACAAAGCAUUCUUAGCUUUGAAAGUUGUUAGUAUUUACCUUUGCAUUCGUCUGAAGCCAUCUUUCUUCUUUUCACUCUAUUGAACUAUUUUUUUCUGCUUUGAUCUAUUUGUGUUAAGGCAACUAGUUAAGAUGGGUAUUUAUAGAUGAGGAGUAGAUUAGCCUGUUCCUCAUUAUUGACCUUUCCAGCAGGCUAAUGUUGAAAGUUUGAAGUGUCUUUUUGGGAGGGGAUAAAUUGUUUGUUGUAUUCCAACAUCAGCUCUGAUGAAGAUUAGAAUGAAGAAAGUUGGUGCAUUCUUCAGCGACUUUUCACACUUCCCCUUCCAAAAUUUAAUCAAUAAACCUAACAUAUAUGAGGUCUCAGCUGCCACUAUUUGUCCAAUGACAUUUUCUAUGCACUUCAUUACAGCAAAGUAUAUCUUUGAACAGUUCAAGAUCUUAGCUUGUGGAUAUAGGAAUAGGAAGCUUAUCCCAAAGAUUGGAUUACGGUGCAAGAUAUCUUGAAUCAUGGCAAGCUAUGCAAACAAAUAUGGCUUACAAGUCAUCAGAGUUCCACUUCUAUAGUUUUUUUUUUUUGAACAUUAAAUGACAGUUUGUGAAUGAAGUGUAUGCUAUGAGCACAAAUUCUUGAACUGAUGAGUUGAGUUUUAGGGGAGGUGGAGAGAGAUGUUAUGGUAGAGGUAAGGAUUUGAUGAAGGCAAGCUGAACUGAAAAGAGGAGGCGUGAUGAUUGAAAUGGAAGAGGCCGUGUGAAAACAGGACAGCUUCACUGCUUGGUUCUGUUUUGCAACAAUGAAGAUUUAAAAUUCAAUUUGUGUAAGGUGUGAACACACUGAAAGUUAUAAACAACUAAACGAACACAGAAAUUUUUAAAGCUAUAUAUGCAUAUAUUAUAUAAUUUAUAAAGUUAAUUCAUUUUACUCUUUGAUUAAUCAGGUUGAAACGAAACUGGUUUUGUCUCAUCAAAGAAGUAACCAUUUCUAUCUGCUUGUCUUGAGUUUAUGUGUUGUAGAGUCUAAACCGAAUACAUUUGUUUUUUUCGCUUAUUCUCGGCCAAUAGUGAAUUGUAUUGAGUAUCAAAAAAUGAUACAAGCACUGAUCAGAGAGCAGUGAUCAGUGAGGGACACGGAGAGAAGGUAAACAGGAAACAGAAUGAGGCACCAAGGCCAUAGUGUGAUCUCUACUUAGCACUAAGAUUCCAAAGACCAAUAGAAAGGCAUAGGCAGUAACAAACCAGUAUCAUCCACGGGACAGCACUGACAGAGCACAAGCAGUGAAAUGCAGUAGCAUUCAGAGAGAAGCGAAUCCCGACAUAUGGAAAACCAGACGUUGGUGAGAUGCCAUUUGACAAGGUCAAGAGCAGUGGAUAGUUUCAUUGCAGUGAUCAGACAAGUUGUGGGCAUAGAGAGUGUUGGCAUGACAUAAUAAACCAGCUAAAUCAAAUUUUGCUCCGCAGAAUCAGAUUUUUAUCUUGUUUUGAUUAAACAAGAUUUAAUUACUUUCCAUUAAGGAUGAGAUCAAUUCAUAUUGGCAAUCAAUUUGGAAAAGCAUAACAUCUCGGUGAUUUCAACUUGAAAAAUAUAUUCAAGAGUAAUCUUCACAAUUAGAAGACCAAAAAAAAAAAGAAAGGCAACCUGGAUAAAAUUAAAAGGCUACAUCAAAUUGGCAUUAAGCUGCAUGGGUAGCUCCACAGGUGCCAGAUGUUCGAAAGCUAACAAUGCAUUUACGUCGUCUACAUCUUUAUCAGUGAAAAGCUCAUCCAACUUGCUAAUUUCACUUAUGUUGCUAAUUCCUCAUAGCUGAUCCAAUUUCUUGAAAGACUCAUCAUCGUUUAAUUCCUCAUAUCCACCCAAUAGCUCAUCCACAUUCGAAUCAGUGACAGGUUCAACCGAUUUGCUAAUUUCAUUGUUGUUGCUAAUCCCAUGUAGUUGAUCCAAUUCCUUCUAACAGUCACCAUCGAUUAAUGCCUCAUAUUCACGCAAUAAUUCAUCUACGCUCUUAUCAAUGACAAGCUCAUCCAAGUUGCUAAUUUGAUCGUUGUUGCUAAUCCCCAAUAGUUGAUCCACCUCAUUGAAAGGGUCUUCAUCCCGCAACUGAUCCAUCAAAGAAUAACCCUCACCUACUAGGCCAUUAGAUUCCAUUUCUCCAAAACCAUUCACUAGAGAUUCUGAUCCUUCCACCAAAAUUGAUGACUGACAUUCCAGGUUCUCUGACUGCUGCAACCUUCCAUCCACGUAAUUAUCUAUCAAAGGAUCGCAUUGUCCAUAAUCGGGCAAAGGUAAAUUUCCACUGAAAACAGCUUCUUGCAUCAAAGCAGAUGAUGGACAUUCUUUGUUUCCAAGAAGCAGAUUUCCAAAAAGCUCCUUAACCCAAAAAGCUACACACUCAUCUUUCUCUAAACAGGCUAUGUCUUUGAUCUUGCAGAUAACCCAUUCUUGAAAAUUUUCUCCGGGGAGACGAUACUCAUGCAUCAGCCAGCUAGUUUUGUUGGCAUCCUUUGAACUUCGUUUUCGCACCCUUGCACUCAUAGAAGUUAAGGGUAUUCACGUACCCUAUAACAUGCUCUCCUUGUUCAUCAAGAAUAGGUUUCUCACCUGUUGAAGACCUCCAAAAUCCACCGACUCCUGCUGCUCGACUGUCAAGAACCCUUCUAGGUCGUUUUCCAUUUGCAUUCUUUUGAGAAAUCUUCUGACGAUGGGUGAAGACGAAACGCUGGUUGGGUUUGACGAACGGAAGAAAGCCUUUGUUAACAUCAAACAGGGCAGCUGGCUUGAUGCAAUAUAGAUCACAAAAUUCAAUGAGGUAGCUAAGUUCGCCGAUCCCUUCACCAGUCAUCAACUUGGGCAGAAAAAAGGAAACUAUCACCCGAUCAGAAGGAUUGAACACCACUCCUGGAGCUGGAGGAUGGAACAUCAUUGCUAGGGUCGGAGUUAGAACAAGAUUUUCUUGUUUUGGGAAAGAGAAUGAAGAGGUUCUUAGCGUCAAAAGGAAGCAGAAUGCUUUGUUUUCUGAGAGUGAAGUGAGAAGAAAUCUACUUGCUUAAUUCUGCUUUUAUUUAUAGUUAACAAAAGAGACGGUUUAAGCAGAAUUCUACUUGCUUAAUUCUAGUUGCUUAAAACGCGUUUUUUUUUUUAAUUUUAAAUUUGAAAUUUGGUAGCACUGCUUCUGCUGGUCUCUUGAUCAGCUUUGCUAUGAAAGUUCCUUGAUGGUACAAGAACACUAAAGCAAGGCACCUCACCCUCGCUCCAACCAAGGCCGUCGAUAGCACGUUCUCUCCCAGCGGCCACCAGUCCUUGUCUCCCAUCACGGUACCUUCCCCCUCUCAAUCUCCCCCCAAUUUCCGUGUUUCACCCUGUGAGGUUAUAAUUCCACCCUCCCCUGCAUUUCUUGGGUUUUAGCUCCUGAAUUUUGGCAUGGAAACUCAAUUAAAUUUCUAUUUUAUUCUAAUUAGCAUCAAAUGAACUUCUUUUACUAAAUUUCAAGGAAUUUAUUUGGAAAUGCUCAUAAUUUUUCACUUUUAAAGUAAAGGAUAUGUUUGUUUGAAAUUUCAAUGUCAGUACAUGUGUGAUUUCUAUGGUUUACUGUGAAACCAUGCUCAGAGUUAUUCAAGAUGGUGAUUUGGGUUGGGAUGAAUGGCAUAAUUAGCUUUACUUGAUCAUCUUUUCCAUAACUUGUUUAAAUUUUUUACUAAAAGAUUGUUAAAAGAUGAGAAUGAGGGGGAGAGUUUGAAGAAUUGUUACUAACUGUUUGGGGUAAAGGGUUGAAUCCAUCAUGAUAGGAAAUGGAUGCACUUGAUAGUAAAGAUGUGAUAUGAACUUUAUGAUAAGCAUUAAAUGGGGUGAUUUGGGUUGAAUCCAUUAUGAUAGGAAGGGGAUGCCUCAUGCCUGGUGCCUUGUCUGAUGAGAGAAAGUAAUGAUAACGAUUUUUGUUUCGAAACAGACUGUAUAUCACCAGAAUAAUUUCUCAUGCACUGUUACCAGUCUGUUGUUUUGAGGCCUUGUCCGUUGUUUUGGCUCUUUUUCCCCUUUUAGCGCAGGUUCAUCAGGUUCACUUGCAGAUAGGAAAGAAUUGGUUUCUUUGUCUCUGCAGGACACGGGGGGGAUACUGGUGUUCUUGUUGUGAGGGUCAAGACUGACUGCCAAUCAGUCUUCCACUCUCCUCUGUUUGUUUUUGGACUCCCUCCAGGGAAUGAAUGACUUAAUUUAAAAAAAAAAAAAGCUUAAAUUUUUUCUAUAUACCAUGACCAGAACCCAGCUUUAUUUUUUUGUGCCCAAAUAAAAUGGUGAAGAAAUAUCAUUUUGCUUUACAUGAAAGAGAUUGGGAAACAACUUAUUUCUUUGGAAGGUAAGAGAUGUGAUGAAAUUUUUAGGUUGAGAAAAGAUUUGUGGAUGGAUAUAGAACGAAGUGCAAUUAUAUUUCAUAUGGACAUUUUGUUUUUUACUUUGUUGUUUUGAGUUCUGGAUUUUAAUUUGUUAUGAUUCUUUUUGGAUAUUUAAUUUUUUUGAAAUCCAGUGAGUAAUAAAAAGGAUAGCUGCUCCACAAAAUAAAACUUGAUUGCAAAUUUAAAAGUUCUAACUAGGAAAUACCUAUAAAGAGGAAUGCCAUGAUAUCUACUUUCUUUCUUUUUUUUAAUUUUUGGCCAUUUCUAGCUUGGAAAUAGCUAUUGUUCACAUAGAUGAAUCAAGCAUUUGGAACCAUAUGGUAGAAUCAUCAUGUAGAUAAGUCACUUUGAUGGUAUUUUCUUUCUGAAUUUAAAAUGUAUGGCAAAGUCUCUCAUAUGCCAGCUAUCCACAUUGCAAGUCUGGAAUCAGUAAUCAGCAAUAUUAUGAUAUCUUUAUGCUAUCUUAUUGUGUGCGUGUAUAUAUAUAUAUAUAUAUCCAAGUUACAAAAUAUAAUGCCAUGUUGACAAGGGUAAGGAAGAAAGAAGUAUAUAAGUUUUGGCUCUAUAGAGUGCAAGGCUAGAGGGUCUUUCAUCAUCUUAUUUCAUGCUUCUGGCAGUUUGAUGUCAAAAUCUCUUGCUUCUCUGAUGCUGGAUUAGUAGGAUUGCAAGAUAUUCUGCCUAUGAACUGUCAUCUUCAUGUUGUCGAAAAAUUCCUGAUCCAGUAUUAUGAGGAAACUACCGAGUUUCAUGUGACUAGCACAGAUACAUAUCAGAUUACACAAGAGUGAUACCCAGGACAUCAUGAUAACUAAGUGAUGGUGGGAAGAAAUUAGAGUUUUGGGAAGUAUAACUUGCAUCUCAUUGAUGGAAGCCUUCAAAUAUCAAAUUUCUUUGGGCAUUUUGAUAUAAACCAAACAUCAAGGUUACAUAAAUAACUUUAGUUUUCACAAGUAUAACUUGGUUAUAAGAGGAAUGCCAUGGUAUUUUGUUUUUAAUUAUUUGGCCGAACUCCAUAGAAAGUCAAAGAGAAGAUUACCUAGUGGUUGCUUAUUUCCAUAUACUAUGCCCCCCAGAAAUUUAAGUGCUGGAACACCCCUAAUUUCCAUGUCCACUAGGGGUGCUUGGAUUAACUUCAAGCUGGAUAGUUUUGGAUUGUUACGAAUCAUAUCAGGGCAUGCAUUUGAUGUUGAAAUAUUCAAUUAAUAAUAAAUAAUUAAAAAUAUUCGAGUAUUUGGUUCGGUAAUUGAUACAUGAUCCUUUGUCUAGAAAGUAAAAUUUGAAUUCCCUUCUCUUAAUUAAAAAAAAAAAACAAUGAGUAAUUACGGGGAAGAGUAAGUUGGAAAGGAUGAUGAAGAUACUAAUGUUCCAUCUUUCCGUUAAUAUGUUCUUCCAUUCAACAUGCUAUGAAACAUCGAUCACCAUUUGUCAUAAUAUUAUUGAGGGUAAACAGAUUAUACCUUUCUUUUCACAGCACAGAACUUGCAGUCAGAGGCAGAUGGAUGAAGAAUCUGAUUAACAAUAAGUCGCCUGACAGGAACAUUUUCCUUGUCCAAGAAGGCACGUAGUCUAGAUGACUCAUUGGCUGCCAUCACCUAGGGAAAGGACAUAAAACAUGAGCAAUGAGCUGAGGUUAUUCUAGUUGUUGUAUUAAGGCAAUGAACAGAGGUUCUUUGUGUAGACACAGAGAAAACUUUGGACAGAACUAUAAUCAACACGUUUACCCAUUUCACCUACACGUUUUCUGCUGCAGGUGUUUUAUCAAGGUGGCAGGGAGGUUUCCCUUUCUAGGUAUCAUCAUCAACUAUGUAUGAGUAUGACCAUUUGAACACAAUCUAAUUCAUCAUUUCAUAUAUAUAUAUAUAUAUAUAUAUAUAUUAUAACUAUCAGAAAUCAAAACAUAUUUUUUUAUAAUUUGCACUAAAUAUAUUUGUAAUUUUACAUAUUAUUAUAUUAUAUUAUAGAUAUUUAUAUUUUGUAUGGUUUUAGGAAUAAUACUGUAUGUUGUUUGAAUUUUAAUAAAUUUCAAAUAUAAUUAUAUGCUAAUUUUGCAAUACUUAUUAUUAAAUAAAAUAUAAAUUAUAUGAUUAAUAAAAUAUAACUAUAGAAUGUGCAGGCAGUGUCAAUAGGAGCUCCCUCGAGCAUAUGUGCCAUAUAUACACCUUCGAAUCCUCACUACCACUUGCAAUAAAUUACAAAUCGGAUACGUUUUAUGACCUUUGUACUUUGACACAAGUGUAGGAUCACCUUCUAUGCUCCAGAGAUGGUUUUCUUGGAUUAUAAGAUUCACCAGUAAGAACUUAUUGUCUUUUGAUAAUGAGAAUGAAGUAAUCAUGUCCACCUCUUCAAUAAGUCUCUCAAAUUUUCGUUCCCAGUCGAGCAAUAGUAUAGCAGAUUCUCUGAAUAUGCUUAUGAUCCUCUUAUCAUCAUCCGUUAUGGCCAUAUCUGAGAUUUUAAAUUUCCUCUGUCCUUUGCAGCAUUCUUCAGAACUGAAAUCCCAACGCCUGAUACCCUCCUCCUGUCCACAGGUAAGGAUUUGGCUAUCAUCUGGGCUCCAUGAAACAGUUAAUACUGGUUUCUGAUGGCCGCAUAGGGUAAGCUUCAGUGACCCUUGCCCUUGACCACUAGUUAUAUCUUAAUCCCAUAUGUAGUCCAUGGGAAUUCAUUCAUUCAUUUGGUCUACAAAGGCAACGUGUAAGGGAUAUGAUCUCAUAUAUAGAAAUUGAACUACAACGGAUUUGAAUGACCUUAUCUAGCUAUAUAUCUAUUUUUGCACGAUGAUCAGCCGCCAUCUUUGAACAACUAUGUUGAAAAACUUGAAAAAUGGAAUGCCUUCUCUUGAGAUAAGCCAGUUUCUCACUUUACUGAUAUAAGCCAAUUUCGUAAGUGAUAUCAACUUGACAGAGCUAGCUAAAUUAGCCUCGUGAAUUUGGUUGUUAGUUUGACUACUUACUUUUCCAUAAAUAAUAGAUAUUUUCACAUAGUUAAAAAUAAAAAAAUUCUAUUUAGAAAUCUUUCUUAUCACAAAGAAUUAUAAUGAUUAACCAUUAAAGCCUAUAAUAUAAAGUCCAUUUUUUGGGUUCAUAAUUUGACUUUUCUUCAAUCUAAAUCCAUUUAAACAAAUAUUCAUGGCAAUCUAGAUGGUUCGAGUUAGUGUUAACAGAUCUUCAUAUUAAUCAUCAUUUGGUUGUACACUCAAAAAGAACUAAUCCAAAAUUUAAAAAUGAAAUAUGGAGGUUGUUGUAAACCGUGCGAAUUAAAAAAUCAAUUAAAAUAUAGUUGGAAUACUCUAGUUAUCAGGGCUUAACAUUAAAAACUAAUUAAAGUUGCUUCCUAUAUUAUACCAAAUAUAUAAAUAUCCGCGCAGCUGACAAGGCAAUGUUUUCUCCAUUGAAAAUUUGCUAUAUUAGAUUCAUUAGAAUGAGAAAGAAUAAUUAGAUAUUAUGACGUGUAAUUUUUUUAUUUAUACAUUUGCUUUGUGAGAGAUUCUGAUAUUCAAAUAUACUCAAAAUGGACACAACAAAAUAUAAUCAUAAAACGAAAAAGGUUUUAAUAGGAGACUAUUAUUAAUAUCUUAUACCAAAUUUAAAACAAAUUACAGACAUAUAUGUAUUUCAAGAGUUACAAUAAUUUUGAGCUUGCUUAUUUAAUUAUGGCUACAUGACUAGGUAUAAAUAAGUGACUUGCUAGUCAAGUAUAUAAGCCCUUUGCAUUUAACCAAUGACGGGAACCCUGGUAACGAUCCCAUCAGUGUUAACCCAAACACGAACCCUAGUGCACAAGAAAUCCGGGGUGACAAAUGAUCCUUCCGACACAAUCACAGCAUUGACAUUAGGAUUCUCCCUCUCAAUUGUUGCUGCUGCCUCCUCCCCUUUUGCUCCCAGGAGCUCCGGCCAUGAACUUUUCCCUACAUAUUUAGGCAUAGCCACAAGAAUUUGUAUUAAACAAAAGGAAAUUGUUAAUCAGCACAAACCAUUCCAGGCUCUGGAAGUUGUUAUUUACCUUGGCAUUCAUCUGAAGCCAUCUUUCUCUUCUUUUCACUCUAUUGCAAUAUCCUGUUCCUCUAUGAUUUAACUGUGUUAUGGCAAUCGGGUAAAAGGGAUAUUUAUAGAUGGAAAAGUAUAUGGUGGUUUGUUGGACAUUAUUGACUUUCGAGGCUUAUGCCAAAAGUUUGACGUUCUUGGCAAAUUAAUUGUUCCAUAGUUCUCAAACCUGCAUUUAGCUAUAUGAUCAGAAAUCUGUCAGCUGAUGAAGAUUUACAUGAAAGUCUGUGUAUUCUUUAAGCAAUUCUUCUCACGUUUCCUUUCAGAUUUUAUUUAAAACCAUCGGAUAUAUAUAUGAUCAGCCACUAUUUUUUCAUUGAAAUUUUCUAUGCAUUUGAUUACAUCAAAGCUUCUUUGAACAGUUCCAUGUCUUUUCUUGCAGAUAUUGCAAUAGCCAAUAGGGAAGCUUAUCGCCAAGAUUGGCUUAUGCUGCAAGAUAUAUCUUGAAUCAGGGCAAGGUUUUAAAAUGAAUGGCUUACAACUGAUCUAGAUCUCUCCUGGUCAAAGUCAGCCUGUAAAUAUAUUGCUUACGUUGAAAAUUGUGCAUUUUCAUUCACAUUCAAUCCAAAUUUCCUAACAUAGUUAAUUAAUUAAUAUUGUAAGCAUUCGGUUUUCAUUUUAUAAAUAUAUAUCUAUUGAAUCAAAAGUGUAUAUUUAAGUUGAAAUAGAUCAGAGGAAAUGUAACAUGGAGUGAAAUUAUCAAGUGUUUUGUGAUCUUUAAUGAGAUUUCAUUCAGAAACAAAGUCAAUGAUGAACCAUGAUAAAGUUGAAUCAUUUCAUUUUCGUCACAGCUUGACCAUGAACCAACCGGGAAUCAAACCCGGGUCUGUGCCGUGGGAGUGUAUACUACUAUUCUACCAUUAGAGUCCUUCCCACUUCACCUUGACAAAAUUAUCUCCCACGCAGCCCCAACCCCUAAAUCUGGUGAAGGAAAACCCAAAAUGCCUCUGUCCCAAAAUAUUUAAAUUACAUUUGCAUUUUUUUAAUAAUGAUUUGCAAUUUUUAAGUUUUAAUUACAUACAAGGGAGCCAAAUCAUAUUCAUCUUGUAAGAGAGAAAUGACAUGAUGCUUCAUUUUUUUUUAAAGAGAAAAAACAAGAAAUUAAAACUAAAUGUAACUUACAUCUAUAUAUAAAGUAUAAAUUAAUAACUUUUCUUUGAAAAUUAGAAAUUCAUAUCUGUCCAUGGCAUUCUCUUUCCAGAUUCCAAUUUCAUGGCAAAGUCUUUCCAUAUGUCUGAUCUCUAAAUACUAUUGCACAUCCCAAAUCAAAAAUCAAGCUUUGAUAUCUUAUAAUGCUUUAUCCUGAUCUCACAAAAUAAAUGUAGUAGUAGUUGACAAGGUACUUUGUUCUCUAUGUUCAUAUAUUACAAAUAAAUAACAGUUUAUGGAAUUAUAUUUGACUCAAUAGUUUAUACAUGAGUUCCCUUCAAAGAAUGGGAUCUGAAUUUCUUUUCUCCAAAAAACCAAAAGAAAGAAAAUGCUAUUAGAUUGUCAUUAUUUGCAACAAUAUUCUCUAACAUCACAAGAAUUAAUCCUUCUUGAACAAUGGGUGUUAAAAGGAUGUAAGAGGACAUUUUGCAAAGAAUGGACCAUUUAGGUCCGGCACCUUCAAAAUUUUGCAUUUCUUCUCACUUAAUUCCAAAUUCAAGUGCAUGACAAAAUAUGAUCAUAAAAUACAAAGAAGCCUUAAUGGAGACGGUUCAAAAUCUUAUUCCAAACUAAAAAUAAAUUACAGACUUAAAUAAAGAUAAUGAGAUUAUGUAACAUAAUAUUGGGUAUUCUUAUUUUAAAUUACAAUACGUAAUUCGUGUCUAUUAAAGAAAUUAAAACAAGUAACUUGCUAGUAAAGCAUAAGCCCUUCACAAUUUAACCAAUGAUAGGAACCCUGGUAACAAUCCCAUAGGUGUUAACCCAAACUCGAACCCUAGUGCACAAGAAAUCCGCUGUAACAAAUGAUCCUUCCAACACAAUCACAGCAUUGACAUGAGGAUUCUCCUUCUCAAUUCUUGCUGCCGCAUCCUCCCCUUUCUUCCCCACAAGCUCAGGCCAAGAACUUUUCCCUACAUUUAUAGCCACAAGAACUUAUAUAAUUGCUUUUAAGGAAAUAAAAUCAUUAGUACAAUUACAAAUCAUUCUUAGCUUCGAAAGUUGUUAAUAUUUACCUUUGCAUUCAUCUGAAGCCAUCUUGUUCUUCCUCUUACUCUAUUGAACUAUUUUUCCUCCUUUGAUUUAUUUGUGUUAUGAAAACUAGUUAAGAUGGGAAUUUAUAGAUGAGUAGGUUAGCCUGCUGCUCAUUAUUGACCUUUCUAGGAAGCUUAUGUAGAAAGUUUGAAGUGUUUUUAUGGGGAUAAAUUGUUUGUUGUAUUCCACUAUCAGCUCUGAUGAAGAUUAGGAUGAAGACAGUUGGUGCACUCUUCAGCAAUUUUUCUCACUUUCCUUACCAAAAUUAAAUUUAGAGUUCACAGAUAUAUGGUUUCCACAACCAUUUGUCUAAUGAAAUUUUCGAUUACUACAUAUUGUUUGAACAGCUCAAAUCUUAACUUGUCUAGAUUUUUCAAAAUUGGAUUAUACUUCAAGAUAUCUUGAAACAUUUAUUGGCUUAAAACAAUGAAUUUAAGUCAAUUAAUGAUCCAUAUAUAUAUACAUAUAUCUCUAUAAACAAAGGACCAAAAUCUUAAUCAUGUAAAAGAGAAAGCAAAAAUGAAAACCACAAACAUAUGAGAUAAAGUUGAAGUCUUUGAUGUGUUCCAACAAGGAAGAUUUGAAAUUCAAUUUGUGUAUGGUGCGAACACCCAAAACUUAAAGAAAAACAAACAUAUAGAAAGUCAUAAUAACUAUAUAUCUAUAAACAACUUUAAACAAGCACAGAAAUUUUAAAGCUAUAUAUAAAGAGUUGAAAGUCUUUGUUGCAAGAAGGAAGGUGAAUAUUAGAUUUUGAUUUAUCUUCGGAGAAGUGAUUGUUAAAUGUUAAUAUAUUCUUUGAUUAUUUAAAGUCAACAGAGCAAUAAUGAGCAUGGUAGAUUUAAAUGGUAUGUUCAAUUCUUUUAGAAUUAGACAUUAUCUUUGAGGUUUUGAGCAUCCAUAUUUAAUUAGCUUGAAGACGAUGUACAAUGCUUCAAUGAUUAAUUUAUCAAGUUAAUUGAUGUCAGAGGGUCUGAACCGACUAUCUAUUAAGCAAAAUCAGAUUUUUAUCUUAUCAAGCGUUGUUUAUGGUUUUCUAAAUGGCUAAAGCACAAAAUAAGUCCUUAUACUAAAAAUAUCUAUCAUAUGAGCUUUUAUCUUUUUAUUGCAUUAAAUAUUUGAGCUCUUAAUCAAUUAUUACAAUCAAUCGAGUCCUUUUGGAUAUAUAAAAAUUUUAACACCAUUAACUCUUUCUACCAAUGAGAACAGAAUUGUCAUGUGCCAUAAAUAAUGUGGAACACACAGCAUUUUUUAGGCAUGUGUUAAAAUAAAAAAAAAACAAAGAAUUUAAUAAUUUUUUCAUUGAAAUUUUCUAUGCGUCUGAUUACAUCAAAGCUUCUUUGAACAGUUCCAUGUCUUUACUUGCAGAUAUUGCAAUAGCCAAUAGGGAAGCUUAUCACCAAGAUUGGCUUAUGCUUCAAGACAUUUCUUGAAUCAGGGCAAGGUUGAAAAUUGAUCUAGAUCUCUACUGGUCAAAGUCAGCCUGUAAAUAUAUUGCUUACGUUGAAAAUUGUGCAUUUUCAUUCACAUUCAAUCCAAAUUUUCUAACAAGAUAGUUAAUUAAUUAUUGUAAGCAUUCGGUUUUCAUUUUAUAAAUACUAGAGUGGUGCCUCGCUUUGUGUGGGUGUUAAAUUUUUUAUUAAAAAUUAUAUAAUAUUAUAAAUAAAAAUAAUAAUAUCAAGAGCAAUAAUUUUAAAUUUAAAAAUACUAUAAAUAAUAGUUAUAAUGAUAAUUUAAAGAAAAUUAUUUUUUAAAAUAUUUCUCAUCUCUUAUUAAGCAAAAAUUUUAUUUAAAUAAUUUUUUUUAAAACAUUUAAUUUUUUAUAUCUUAAUAUAUGCUAAUAUUGAUAUAUUCAUAUUUUAUUAAUUACAUGAUUCUAAUAGUGAAAUCAAAUUCAUAUUGAAAAAAUAUAAUGUUUUAAAAGUAAUUAUUGAUAAGCUAUAUAAUUGAUAUAAUAAAAUUAUUCAAAUAAAAUAAAUAUUUUUUGAAAGUCAAAAUGAAAUAAAUAUUAAUUAUACUUAUUAAUUUUUUUAGUUUUAAUGAUGAAAUGUUCUAAAUGAUCUUUAAUUUUAAUUAGUACUUUUUUAUCUCAUGCCUUUAUAAUUGUUUAGAAUUAAUUCCCCUUAUAAUUCCUAUCGUGUCUCAUUAAAAAUUAAAAAUUUGCUUCACAUCAAACUUGAAUGAAAUCCAUAAAUGUGCACCAAAAAAAGUUUAUUUUUAUAUUUUAUUUUAUAAAGAAUAUAUAUUUCAUAAUACAUGAAAGCACUGUUAGCUUCAAUUUCCUAUGAACCAAAACAUUAUCAAUACGGAAAAAAUGCUCUUAUGAAGCUAAAGAAAAAAAAUCUUCUGUUGACAAUCCUAAAUGCAACCGACCCCACAAAAAUCAUCUCAAAAUUCUUUAUAAAUCAAUCAUUUUAAAUUAGCCACAUGUCAAUAAAAGAAGCCACAAACGUGGCCAAGUGUGGAAGCCCCUGUAGGGCUUCAUUUUACUUAUGUUAUAGAUAUAUCUAUAUAUUGAAUCGAAAGUGUACAUUUAAUUUGAAAUAGAUCAUAGGAAAUGUAACAUGGAGUGAAAUUAUAAAGUGUUUUGUGAUCUUUAUUGAGAUUUCAUUUUUAUGUAAUGUAGAGAAACAAACUCAAUGAUGAACCAUGAUAGAGUUGAAUCAUUUCAUUUUCAUCACAGCUUGAACACGAACCAAUGGGGAAUCAAACCGAGGGGGUCUGUACCGAGGCAGGGUAUUACUAUUCUACCAUUAGAGUCCUUCCAACUUCACCUUGACAAAAUUAUCACCACGCAGCCCUAACCCCUAAAUCUGAUGAAAAACCCAAAAUGCCUCUGUCCCAAAAUAUUUAAAUUACAUUUACAUAUUUUUUAUCAAUAAUGAUUUGCAGUUUUUAAGUAUUAAUUACAUACAAGGGAGCCAAAUCAUGUUCAUCUUGCAAGAAAGAAAUGACAUGAUGCUUCAUUUUUUUAAAAAAAGAAGAAAUUAAAACUAAAUGUAACCUACAUCUAUAUAUAAAGUAUAAAUUAAUAACUUUUCUUUGAAAAUUAGAAAUUCAUAUCUGUCCAUGGCAUUCUCUUUCCAGAUUCCAAUUUCAUGGCAAAGUCUUUCCAUAUGUCUGAUCUCUACAUACUAUUGCACAUCCCAAAUCAGAAAUCAGGCUUUGAUAUCUUAUAAUGCUUUAUCCUGAUCUCACAAAAUAAAUGUUGUAGUAGUUGACAAGGUAAUUUGUUCUCUAUGUUCAUAUAUUACGAAUAAAUAACAGUUUACAGAAUUAGAUUUGACUCAAUAGUUCAUGUAUGUGUUCCCUUCAAAGAGUGGGAUUUGAAUUUCUUUUCUCCAAAAAACCAAAAGAAAGAAAACGUUAUAAGAUUGUCAUUAUUUGCAAUAAUAUUCUCCAACAUCACAAGAAUUAAUCCUUCUUGAGCAAUAGGUACGUUAAAAGGAUGCAAUAGGACAUUUUGCAAAGAAUGGACCAUUUAGGUCCGGCACCUUCAAAAUGUUGUAUUUCUUCUCCCUUAAUUCCAAAUUCAAGUGCAUGAAAAAAUAUGAUCAUAAAAUACAAAGAAGCCUUAAUGGAGAUGGUUAAAAAUCUUAUUCCAAACAAAAAAUAAAUUAUAGAUUUAAAUAAAGAUAAUGAGAUCGUAUAACAUAAUAGUGGGUAUUCUUAUUUUAAAUUACAAUACGUAAUUUGUGUUUAUUAAAGAAAUUAAAACAAGUAACUUGCUAGUAAAGCAUAAGCCCUUCACAAUUUAACCAAUGGUCGGAACCCUGGUAACAAUCCCAUAGGUGUUAACCCAAACUCGAACCCUAGUGCACAAGAAAUCCGCUGUAACAAAUGAUCCUUCCAACACAAUCACAGCAUUGACAUGAGGAUUCUCCUUCUCAAUUCUUGCCGCUGCAUCCUCCCCUUUCUUCCCCACAAGCUCAGGCCAAGAACUUUUCCCUACAUUUAUAGCCACAAGAACUUAUAUAAUUGCUUUUAAGGAAAUAAAAUUAUUAUUACAAUUACAAAUCAUUCUUAGCUUCGAAAGUUGUUAAUAUUUACCUUCGCAUUCAUCUGAAGCCAUCUUGUUCUUCCUCUUACUCUAUUGAACUAUUUUUUCUCCUUUGAUUUAUUUGUGUUAUGGAAACUAGUUAAGAUGGGUAUUUAUAGAUGAGUAGGUUAGCCUGCUGCUCAUUAUUGACCUUUCUUAGAAGCUUAUGUUGAAAGUUUCAAGUAUUUUUUUUGGGGAUAAAUUGUUUGUUGUAUUCCAACAUCAGCUCUGAUGAAGAUUAGGAUGAAGACAGUUGGUGCACUCUUCAGCAAUUUUUCUCACUUUCCUUACCAAAAUUAAAUUUAGAGUUCAAGGAUAUAUGGUUUCCGCGACCAUUUGUCUAAUGAAAUUUUCUAUUACUACAUAUUGUUUGAACAGCUCAAAUCUUAACUUGUCUAGAUUUUUCAAAAUUGGAUUAUGCUUCAAGAUAUCUUGAAACAUUUAUUGGCUUAAAACUAUGAAUUUAAGUCAAUUGAUGAUCCAUAUACAUAUAUCUAUAAACAAAGGACCAAAUCUUAAUCAUGUAAAAGAGAAAGCAAAAAUGAAAACCACAAACAUAUGAGAUAAAGUUGAAGUCUUUGAUGUGUUCCAACAAGGAAGAUUUGAAAUUCAAUUUGUGUAUGGUGUGAACACCCAAAAAUUAAAGAAAAACAAACACAUUGAAAGUCAUAAUAGCUAUAUAUCUAUAAACAACUUUAAACAAGCACAGAAAUUUUAAAACUAUAUAUAAAGAGUUGAAAGUCUUCGUUCCAAGAAGGAAGACUGAAUCUUAUAUUUUGAUUUAUCUCUCGGAGAAGUGAUUGUUAAAUGAUAAUAUAUUCUUUGAUUAUUUAAAGUCAAUAGGGCAAUAAUGAGUAUGAAGAUAUAAAUGGUAUAUUCAAUUCUUUUAGAAUUAGACAUUAUCUUUGAGGUUUUGAGCAUCCAUAUUUAAAUAGCUUGAAGACGAUGUACAAUGCUUCAAUGAUUAAUUUAUCAAGUUAAUUAAUAAGUUAGGUUCCAAGUCCAAAUUGUACUCUUAAAAAAUGGGUUAAAAUUAAAUUGGUUUCGUCUCACUGAUUAAGUAAUCAUUUAUAACUAUUUAUUCUAUUAUUUAUUAUUACUAAUGUCGGAGAGUCUAAACCAACUAUCUAUUAAGCAAAAUCAAAUUUUAAUCUUAUCAGGCAUUGUUUAUGGUUUUCUAAAUGGCUAAAGCACAAAAUAAGUCCUUAUACUAAAAAUAUCUAUCAUUUGAGCUUUUAUCUUUUUAGUGCAUUAAAUAUUUGAGUUCUUAAUCAACUAUUACAAUCAAUUGAGUCCUUACUGGAAUAUAUAAAAAUUUUAACACCAUUAGCUCUUUCUAUCAAUGAGAAUAAGAUUGUCAUGUGACAUAAACAAUGUGGAACACACAGCAUUUUUUAGGCAUGUGUUAAAAUUAAAAAAAAAAAAACAAAGAAUUCCUUUCAUUCUUGACAUGUAUUAAAAAUGACCAUUUCUUUUAAUUUGACACACAUGCUCAAAAAAUGUCGUGUUAAUAUUUAUUCCACAUCAUUCAUGUCUCAUGAAAAUUAUAUCCCGACUAAUAGAAAUUAAAGAAUUAAUGGUGUUAAAAUUUUCAUCAAAUAAGAAUCCAAUUGAUUGUAAAUAAUUGAUUAAAAACCUAAUUAUUUACAAUAGAAUAGAAGCUCUUGCAACACAUUUAAUUGCAUACAAGGGCUUAUUUUGUUUUUAGUCAAAUCAUAUUCAUCUUGUGUGAAAGAAAUGACAUGAUGCCAGUCGACAUGGUGCUUCAAUAUUUUUUUUUUUAAAUAAACUACAUGUAACAUAAAUAAAGUAUAAUAUAAGUAUUUUCAUGAAUGCAUUAAAAAAUCAAUAACUUGAUUAGGCAUUGUACAAAUAUAUAACUAUCUUCCCUUUGGAAAUUAGAAAUUCAUAAUUCAUCCAUGGCAUUCUAUUUCCAGAUUCCAAUUUCAUGGCAAAGUGUUUCCAUAUGUCAUGUAUUUCUACAUUGCAAAUUCCAAAACAGAAAUCAGGCUUUGAUAUCUUAUAACUCAUUAACGAUUUGUGUAUGUAUUCCCUUCGGAGAGCCUUAAUGGAGACCGUUUAGCAUCUAAUUAGUCCAAAUUUGAAACAAAUUAGAGACUUACGUAGAUAAACAAUGAGAUCAAAUAAUCAAAUUUAUUCUUGUUUUAUAUUACAACAUAGUCCCCAUUUAUUAAAAAAAUAAAAGCAAGUAACUUGCUAUAGUCGAGCAUAAGCCCUUCACAAUAUAUUUAACCAAUGAUGGGAACCCUGGUAACGAUCCCAUCCGUGUUAACCCAAACCCGAACCCUAGUGCACAAGAACUCCAAUGUUACAAAUGUUCCUUCCAACACAAUCAUAGCAUUGACAUGAGGAUUCUCCUUCUCAAUUCUUGCCGCUGCAUCCUCCCCUUUCUUCCCCACAAGCUCAGGCCACGAACUUUUCCCUACACAUAUAGCCACAAGAAUGUAUAUAAUUAUUCUGAAGGAAAAAAAGUUAUUAGUACGAUUACAAAGCAUUCUUAGCUUUGAAAGUUGUUACUAUUUACCUUUGCAUUCGUCUGAAGCCAUCUUGUUCUUCUUUUCACUCUAUUGAACUAUUUUUUUCUACUUUGAUUUAUUUGUGUUAAGGCAACUAGUUAAGAUGGGUAUUUAUAGAUGAGGAGCAGAUUAGCCUGUUCCUCAUUGUUGACCUUUCCAGCAGGCUUAUGUUGAAAGUUUGAAGUGUUUUUUUGGGAGGGGAUAAAUUUUUUGUUGUAUUCCAACAUCACCUCUGAGAAAGAUUAGGAUGAAGAAAGUUGGUGCAUUUUUAAGCAAUGUUUCUCACUUUCCCUUCCAAAACUUAAUCUAUAAACCUAACAUAUUUGUGGUCUCAGCUGCCACUAUCUGCCCAAUGACAUUUUCAAUGCAUUUGAUUACAGCAAAGUAUCUUUGAACAGUUCAGCAUCUUAGCUUGUGGAUAUUGCAAUAGGAAGCUUAUCCCAAAGAUUGGAUUAUGGUGCAAGAUAUCUUGAAUCAGGGCAAGGUAUUCAAACAAAUAUGGCUUAAAAGUCAUCAGAAUUCUACUUCUAUAGGAAAAAUUUUUUUGAACAUUAAUCUUCCAUGACUCCAUCUUUCUUGAUGUUGCCGCUACCACUGCUUCUUCUGUUCUCUUGAUCACCUUUGAUGUCAAAAUUCCUUGAUGCUCCAUAACAAAAGCAAACUAAAGUGGUACACCUGCGACGCCGCCAGGAGUACAGACCAACAAGCUGAAAUCCUUUCUAUUUAUGCCGAUACCAUUCCAGACAGCUUUAUUUAUUAUGGCUAUUGAUCAACCAAAUUAAAAAUGGUGACGAGAUAUGGGUAUACCAUUUUUCUUUUGCACAAUCAGAAAUGCUUUAUUGAAUAUCACAGAAAACUGAUCACAAAAGAUCAGUAUGGAGUACAAUAUGACUCAUCACACUAAGGCUAACAGCCCCCAAAAAAAACAAAGGCACCAGAAGCCUCCCAUAAAGUAAUAGCAUGGUCACCAUUAGCUGUACUCAAUCGAAAACAGAGGAGGAAAGAUCUUACUUCUAUACUAUAUAUAUUAAUAUGAAGGUUAAUUCUGGUUUUGAGAUGUCUUGUUAGGUUUCUUCUUUCUUUUUCAUCUUGUUGUUGGGUUGAUCUUCUUUUUUGUUUUCUCCCCUUGUGGAUGUGUGUUUCUGUUUCUGUUUCUGUUUCUGUAUCUUUGUUUUCUGCUUCUGCGGGUGCUGGCUUUCUCAGCUAGUUUCCUUCUGAACCUCUGUUUCUUUUGUGAUGAUUAUGUUUCAUAUGGACAAUUUGUGUUCUAUUUUGUUGUUUUGAUCUUUUAAUUUUAAUUUUGGGAUGAGUCUUUUUGGAUAUUUCAUCUGUUUGAAAUCCAGUGAAUUGUAAAAUUGAUAGCUAGUCCACCAAACUUAAAAUAAAAAAAGUUGUAAUCACUAAAGCGUACACUAAAUUCAGCAAGGAAAAAACUCCAGCCUAGCUUGAUUACAAAAUUAAAAGUUCUAGAUAGGAAAUAUCUAUAAAGAGGAAUGCCAUAAUAUUUUGUUUUCUUUGUUUUAAUCUUUGGGCCAUGUCUAGCUUGGAAAUGGCUAACGAAUGUUGAGAAAUCAUUGUUCAGAUUGAUGAAUCAAGCACUUAGAACCCUAUGGUAGAAUCAUUAAAUGGAUAGACACUUUCAUGGUCCUUUCUUUUUGAAUUUAAUUCUAUGGCAAAGCCUUUCAUAUACCAGCUAUCCACAUUGCAAGUCUGGAAUCAGUAAUCAGCAAUAUUAUGUUAUCUUUAUGCUAUCUUAUUGUGUACGUAUCCAAGUUACAAAAUAUAAAGCCAUGUUGACAAGGGUAAGGAAGAAACAGGUAUAUAAGUUUUGGCUUUAUAGAGUGCAGGGCUGGAGAGUCUUCCAUCAUCCUAUUUCAUGUUUCUGGCAGUUUGAUAUCAAAAUCUCUGACUUUUAAAUAUAUGUAGCUACCGUCCAUGAAUAAAAGUCAACCAGAUUAUUAUACAAGUCCCUAACUCUAUAGCUCAUAUAGCUUAGCUCAACAAAAGCAAAUAUUCUUUGAUUAUUUAACUAAACGGCAUGUUAAAUUCAUUUACAAUUAGACACUAUCUUAAUUUGAGCAUUCAUACUGGAUAAUUUGAAGCCUAGGAAAAUUUAAUGCUUGAAUAUCAUUUGUAAUUUUAGCCAAUUUCUCAAUAAUAUAAUUAUUAAAUUUACUGUUUGAUAAAUCAGGUUGAAACUAAAAUGGUUUUGUCUCAUCAAUGAAGAAACCAUUUCUAUUUGAAUGGAUUUCUGCUUAGCACCAAGAUUCCAAAGACCAAUAGAAAGGCAUAGGCAGUGGUAGAUCAGCAUCAUCCACGAGUCAGCACUGACAGAGCACAAGCAGUUGAAAGUGCAGCAGCAUUCAAAGAGUGUUGCCAUAACAUAAUAAACCAGCAAAAUCAGAUUUUUUUAUCUUGUUUUGACUAAACAAGAAUUAAUUACUUUUCAUUAAGGAUGAGAUCGAUUCAUAUUGGCCAUCAAUUUGGAAAAGCAUAACAUUUUAUUGAUUUCAGCUUGAAAAAUAUAUUCAAGGCUAAUCUUUACAUUUAGAAGAAAAAAAGAAAAGCAACCUAGAUAUGAAAUACAAAAUUAUAAGGCUACUUCAAAUUGGCACAGGUAGCUCCGAAGGUGGCAGAUGGUCGAAAGCCAACAAUGCAUGUAUGUCAUCUACAUCCUUAUCAGUGAAAAGCUCAUCCAACUUGCUAUUCUCAUCUGUGUUCCUAAUUCCCCAUAGCUGAUCCACCUCCUUGAAAGAGUCAUCAUGGUUUAAUUCCUCAUAUCCACCCGAUAGCUCAUCUACAUUCUUACCAGUGACAAUGACAGGUUCAACCGGUUUGCUACUUUCACUGUUGUUGCUAAUCCCAUGUAGUUGAUCCACUUCCUUCAAACAGUCACCAUCGAUUAAUGCCUCAUAUUCACGCAAUAAUUCAUCUACGCUCUUAUCAAUGACAAGCUCAUCCAAGUUGCUAAUUUGAUCGUUGUUGCUAAUCCCCAAUAGUUGAUCCACCUCACUGUAGGGGUCUUCAUCCAGUAACUGAUCCAUCAAAGAAUCACCCUCACCUACUAGGCCAUUAGAAUCCAUUUCUCCAAAACCAUUUACUCGAGAUUCUGAUCGUUCCACCAAAAUUGAUGAUUGACAUUCCAGGUUCUCUGACUACUGCAACCUUCCAUCUACGUAAUUAUCUACCCAAGGACGGCAUUGUCCAUCAUCGAGCAAAGGUAAAUUUCCACUGAAAACAGCUUCUUGCAUUAAAGCAGAUGAUGGACAUUCUUUGUUUCCAAGAAACAGAUUUCCAAAAAGCUCAUUAACCCAAAAAGCUACACACUUAUCUUCCUCUGAACAGGCUGUGUCUUUGAUCUUGCAGAUAACCCAUUCUUGAAAAUUUUCUCUGGGGAGACGAUACUCAUGCAUAAGCCAGCUAGUUUUGGUGGCAUCCUUUGGAUUUCGUUUCUCACCCUUGUACUCAUAGAAGUUAAGGGUAUUCACGUACCCUAUAACAUGCUCUCCUUGUUCAUCAAGAAUAGGUUUCUCACCUGUUGAAGACCUCCAAAAUCCACCGUCUCCUACUGCUCGACUGUCAAGAACCCUUCUAGGUCGUUUUCCAUUUGCAUUCUUUUGAGAAAUCUUCUGUCGAUGGGUGAAGACGAAACGCUGGUUGGGUUUGACGAACGGAAGAAAGCCUUUGUUAACAUCAAACAGGGCAUCUGGCUUGAUGCAAUAUAGAUCACAAAAUUCAAUGAGGUAGCUAAGUUCGUCGAUCCCUUCACCAGUCAUCAACUUGGGCAGAAAAAAGGAAACUAUUUCCCGAUCAGAAGGAUUGAACACCACUCCUGGAGCUGGAGGAUGGAACAUCAUCGCUAGGGUCGGAGUUAGAAUGAGAUUUUCUUGUUUUGGGAAAGAGAGUGAAGAGGUUUUUAGCGUCAAAAGGAAGCAGAAUGCUUUGUUUUCUGAAAGUGAAGUAAGAAGAAAUCUAGUUGCUUAAUUCUGCUUUUAUUUAUAGUUACCAAAAGAGACGGUUUAAGCAGAAUUCUACUUGCUUAAUUCUAGUUGCCUAAAACGCGUUUUUUGUUUUUAAUUUUAAAUUUGAAAUUUGGUAGCGCUGCUUCUGAUGGUCUCUUGAUCAGCUUUGCUAUGAAAGUUCCUUGAUGGUACAAGAACACUAAAGCAAGGCACCUCACCCUCACUCCAACCAUGGCCGCCGAUAUCAGGAUCUCUACCAGCGACCACCAGGCCUUGUCUCCCAUCACGGUACCUUCCCCCUCUCAAUCUCCCCUCCAAUUCCCAUGUUUCCCCCGUGAGGUUAUAAUUCGCCCCUCCCCUGCAUGUCUUGGGUUUUAGCUCCUGAAUUUUAGCAUGGAAACUCAAUUAGAUUUCUAUUUUAUUUUAAUUAAUAUCAAAUGAACUUCUUUUACUAAAUUUCAAGGAAUUUAUUUGGAAAUGCUCAUAUUUUUUUCACUUUUAAAGUAAAGGAUAUGUUUGUUUGAAAUUUCAAUGUCAGUACAUACGUGUGAUUUCUAUGGUUUCCUGUAAAACAAUGCUCAGAGUUAUUCAAGAUGGUGAUUUGGGUUGGGAUGAAUGGCAUAAUUAGCUUUACUUAAUCAUCUUUUCCAUAACUUGUUACAAUUUUUUACUACAAGAUUGUUAAUAGAUGAGAAUGGAGGGAGACUUUGAAGAAUUGUUAAUAACUGUUUGGGGUAAAGGGUUGAAUCUAUCAUGAUAGGAAAGGGAUGCACUUGAUAGUAAAGAUGUGAUAAGAACUUUUUGAUAAGCAUUAAAUGGGAUGAUUUGGGUUGAAUCCAUCAUGAUAGGAAAGGGAUGCCUCAUGCCUGGUGCCUAGUCUGAUGAGAGAAAGUAAUGAUAACAACUUUUGUUUCGAAACGGACUGUAUAUCACCAGAAUCAUUUCUCAUGCACUGUUACCAGUAUGUUGUUUUGAGGCCUUGUCUGUUGUUUUGGCUCUUUUUCCCCUGUUAGCGCAGGUUUAUCGGGUUCACUUGUAAAUAGGGAAAGAAUUGGUUUCUUUGUCUCUGCAGGACACGGAGGGUAUACUGGUGUUCCUGUUACCAGUCUAUGCUGUGAGGGUCAAGACUAACUGCCAAUCAGUCUUCUACUCUCCUCUGUUUGUUUUUGGACUCCCUCUAUGGAAUGAAUGACUUAAUUUUCAAAAAGCAAAAAAAAAAAAAAAGGUUAAAUCUUUUUCUAUAUACCAUGACCAGAACCCAGCUUUAUUUUUUUGUGGCCAAAUAAAAUUGUGAAGAAAUAUCACUUUGCUUUACAUGAAAGAGAUUAGGAAACAACUUAUUUCUUUGGGAGGUAGGAGAUGUGAUGAAAUUUUUAGGUUGAGAAAAGAUUUAUGGAUGGAUAUAGAAUGAAGCGCAAUUAUAUUUCAUAUGGACAUUUUGUAUUUUACUUUGUUGUUUCGAAUUCUGAAUUUUAAUUUGUUAUAAUUCUUUUUGGAUAUUUAAUUUUCUUGAAAUCCCAUGAGUGGUAAAAAGGAUAGCUAGUCCACCAAAAUAAAACUUGAUUGCAAAUUUAAAAGCUCUAACUAGGAAAUACCUAUAAAGAGGAAUGCCACAAUAUUUUCUUCUUUUUUUUUAAUUUUUGGCCAUUUCUAGCUUGGAAAUAGCUAUUGUUCACAUAGAUGAAUCAAGCACUUGGAACCCUAUGGUAGAAUCAUCAGGUAGAUAGACACUUUCAUGGUAUUUUCUUUCUGAAUUUAAAAUGUAUGGCAAAGUCUUUCAUAUGCCAGCUAUCCACAUUGCAAGUCUGGAAUCAGUAAUCAGCAAUAUUAUGGUAUCUUUGUGCGAUCUUAUUGUAUAUAUAUAUCCAAGUUACAAAAUAUAAAGCCAUGUUGACAAGGCUAAGGAAGAAAGAAGUAUAUAAGUUUUGGCUCUAUAUAGAGUGCAAGGCUGGAGGGCCUUCCAUCAUCCUAUUUCAUGCUUCUGGCAGUUUGAUAUCAAAAUCUCUUGCUUCUCUGAUGCUGGAUUUGUAGGAUUGCAAGAUAUUCUGCUUAUGAACUGUCACCUUCAUGCUGUCGAAAAUUCCUGAUCCAGUAUUAUGAGGAAACUGCUAAGUUACAUGUGACAAGCACAAAUACAUAUCAGAUUACACAGGAGUGAUACCCAGGACAUUAUGAUAACUAAGUGAUGGUGGCGAGAAACUAGAGUUUUGGGAAGUAUAAUUUGCAUCUCAUUGAUGGAAGCCUCCAAAUAACAAAUUUCUUUUUUUGGGCUUUUUGAUAUAAACCAAACAUCAAGGUUGCAUAAAUAACUUUAGUUUUCGGAAGUAUAACUUGGUUAUAAGAGGAAUGCCAUGGUAUUGGUUUUUUAAUUAUUUGGCCGAACUCCAUAGAAAGUCAAAGGGAAGAUUACCUAGUGGUUACUUAUUUCCAUAUACAAUGUCCCCCACAAAUUUAAGUGCUGGAACACCUCUAAUUUCCAUGUCAACUAGGGGUGCUUGGUUUAACUUCAAGCUGGAUAGCUCUGGAUUGUUAUGAAUCAUAUCAAGGGCACGCAUCUGAUGUUGAAAUAUUUAAUUAACAAUAAAUAAUUAAAAAUAUUCGAAUAUUUGAUUUAUUGGUUAGUACAUAAUUUUUUAUUUAAAAAAUAUGAUUCAAAUCCCUCUUCUCUCAAUUAAAAAAAAAACAAUGAAUAAUUAAGGGGAAGAGUAAGUUGGAAAGGAAGAUGAAGAUACUAAUGUUCCAUCUUUUCGUUAAUAUAUUCUUCCAUUCAACAUGCUAUGACACAUCGAUCACCAUUCGUCAUAAUAUUAUUGAGGGUAAACAGAUUUAUACCUUUAUUUUCACAGCACAGAACUUGCAGUCAGAGGCAGAUGGAUGAAGAAUCUGAUUAACAAUAAGUCGCCUGACAGGAACAUUUUCCAUCUCCAAGAAGGCACGUAGUCUAGAUGACUCACUGACUGCCAUCACCUAAGGAAAGGACAUAAAACAUGAGCAAUGAGCACAGAGGUUCUUCUAGUUGUUGUAAUAAGGCAAUGAGCAGAGGCUCUUUGUGUGGACACACAGAACUUUGGAUAGAACUAUAAUCAACACGUUUACCCAUUUCACCUACACGUUUUGUGCUGCAGGUGCUUUUUUAAGGAAGCAGGGAGUUUUCCCUUUCUAGGUACCAUUAUCAACUAUGUAUGAGUAUGACGACUUGAAUAUAAUCUAAUUCAGCAUUUCAAAAAUAUAUAUAUUAUAAAUAUUCAGAAAUCAAAACAUAUUUUUUUAUCAUUUGCACUAAAUUUAUUUGUAAUUUUACAUAUUAUUAUAUUAUAUUGUAGAUAUUUAUAUUUUGUAUGGUUUUAGGAUUGAUACUGUAUGUUGUUUGAAUUUUAAUAAAUUUCAAAUAUAAUUAUAUGCUAAUUUUGCAAUAUUUAUUAUUAAAUAAAAUAUAAAUUAUAUGAUUUAUAAAAUAUAACUGUAGAAAGUGCAGGCAGUGUCAAUAGGAGCUCCCUUGAGCACCUGCACCAUAUAUACACAUUCGAAUCCUCACUAGCAAUAAAUUACAAAUCGAAUACGUUUUGUGACCUUUGUUUUGACACAAGUGUAGGAUCACCUUCUAUGCUCCAGAGAUGGAUUUCUUGGAUUAUAAGCUUCAUCAGUAAGAACUUAUUGUCUUUUGAUAAUGAGAAUGAAGUAAUCAUGUCUACCUCUUCAAUAAGUCACUCAAAUUUUGCCUCCCAGUCGAGCAAUAGUAUAGCAGAUUCUCUGCAUAUGCUUAUGAUCCUCUUAUCAUCAUCAGUUAUGGCCAUAUCUGAGAUUUUAAGUGUCUUCUGUCCUUUACAGCAUUCUCCAGAACUGACAUCCCAAGGCCUCAUACCCUCCUCCUGUCCACAAGUAAGGAUUUGGCUAUCAUCUGGGCUCCAUGAAACAGUUAAUACUGGUUUCUGGUGGCCGCAUAGGGUAGGCUUCAGUGAACUUUGCCCUUGACCACUAGUUAUCUUAAUCCCAUAUGUAGUCCAUGUGUAGUCAUGCAUUCAUUUGGUCCACAAAGGCAAUGUGUGAGGGAUGUGAUCUCAUAUAUAGAAAUUGAACUACAGCGGAUUUGAAUGACCUUAUCUAGCUAUAUAUCUAAUCUUGCACGACAAUCAGCCACCAUUUUUGAACAACUAUGUUGAAAAACUGGAAAAAUAGAAUGCCUUCUGUUGAGAUAAGCUAGUUUCUCACUUUAUUGAUAUAAGACAAUUUUGUAAGUGAUAUCAACUUGACAGAGCUAGCUUAUAAAUUAGCCUGGUCAAUUUGGUUGUUAGUUUGACUACUUACUUUUUCAGAAAUAAUUGAUAUUUUCAAAUAAUUAAAAAAAUAAAAAAAUUCCAUUUAGAAAUCUUUCUUAUCACAAAGAAUUAUUAUGAUUAACCAUUAAAGCCUAUAGAAUAAAGUCUAUUUUCUGGGUUCGUAAUUUGACUUUUCGUCAAUCUAAAUCCAUUUAAACAAAUAUUCAUGGCAAUCUAGAUGACUAGAGUUAGUGUUAAAAUAGACCUUCAUAUUAAUCGUCAUUUGCUUGCAUACUUAAAAAGAACUAACCCAAAAUUUAAAAUGGAAUAUGAAGGAUGUUCUACACCGUGCUAAUUAAAAAGCCAAUUAAAAUAUAGUUGAAAUACUCUACUUAUCAGGGCUUAACAUUAAAAAUUAAUUAAAGCUGUUUCCUGAUAUUAUACCAAAUAUAUAAAUAUCCCUGCAGCUGACAAGGCAAUGUUUUUUCCAUUGAAAAUUUUCUAUAUUAGAUUCAUUGGAAUGAGAAAGAAGAAUUAGAUAUUAUAGCGUGUUUUUCCAUCCAUAUGAUUGAUUUGUAAAAGAUUCUGAUAUUCAAAGAUACUCAAAAUAGGCAUGGCAAAAUAUAAUUAUAAAGUGAAAAAGGUCUUAAUAGGAAACUAUUAUUAGUAUCUUAUGUCAAAUUUAAACCAAAUUACAGAGAUAUAUGUAUGUCAAGAGAUACAAUAAUUUUGAGCUUGCUUAUUUAAUUAUGGCUACAUGACUAGGUAUAAAUAAGUGACUUCCUAGUCAAGUGUAUAAGCCCUUUGCAUUUAACCAAUGACGGGAACCCUGGUAACGAUCCCAUCAGUGUUAACCCAAACACGAACCCUAGUGCACAAGAAAUCCGGGGUGACAAAUGAUCCUUCCAACACAAUCACAGCAUUGACAUUAGGAUUCUCCCUCUCAAUUGUAGCUGCUGCCUCCUCCCCUUUUGCUCCCAGGAGCUCCGGCCAUGAACUUUUCCCUACAUAUAUAGGCAUAGCCACAAGAAUUUGCAUUAAACAAAAGGAAAUUGUUAAUCAGUACAAACCAUUCGAGGCUCUGGAAGUUGUUAUUUACCUUGGCAUUCAUCUGAAGCCAUGUUUCUCUUCUUUUCACUCUAUUGCAAUAUCCUUUUCCUCUUUGAUUUAAUUGUGUUAUGGCAAUCGGGUAAAAGGGGUAUUUAUAGAUGAAAAGUAUAUGGUGGUUUGUUGGACAUUAUUGACUUUCAAGGCUUAUGCCAAAAGUUUGAAGUUCUUGGCAAAUUAAUUGUUCCAUAGUUUUCAAACCUGCAUUUAGCUAUAUGAUCAGAAAUCCGUCAGCUGUAAUUACAUGAUAGAUGGUGCAUUCUUUAAGCAAUUCUUCUCACGUUUCCUUUCAGAUUUUAUUUAAAACCAUCGGAUAUAUAUAUAUAUGAUCAGCCACUAUUUUUUCAUUGAAAUUUUCUAUGCGUCUGAUUACAUCAAAGCUUCUUUGAACAGUUCCAUGUCUUUACUUGCAGAUAUUGCAAUAGCCAAUAGGGAAGCUUAUCACCAAGAUUGGCUUAUGCUUCAAGACAUUUCUUGAAUCAAGGCAAGGUUUUAAAAGGAAUGGCUUAAAACUGAUCUACAUCUCUACUGGUCAAAGUCAGCCUGUAAAUAUAUUGCGUACGUUGAAAAUUGUGCAUUUUCAUUCACAUUCAAUCCAAAUUUCCUAACAAGAUAUAUAGUUAAUUAAUUAUUGUAAGCAUUCGGUUUUCAUUUUAUAAAUACUAGAGUGGUGCCCCGCUUUGCGUGGGUGUUAAAUUUUUUAUUAAAAACAAUAUCAAAUUAUAUAAUAUUAUAAAUAAAAAUAAUAAUUUUAAAUUUAAAAACACUAUAAAUAAUAGUUAUAAUGAUAAUUUAAAGAUAAUUAUUUUAAAAAUUAUUUUUUAAAAUAUUUCUCAUCUCUUAUUAAGCAAAAUUUUUUAUUUAAAUAAUUUUUUUGAAAACAUUUAAUUUUUUAUAUCUUAAUAUAUGCUAAUAUUGAUAUAUUUAUAUUUUAUUAAUUACAUGAUUCUAACUGUGAAAUCAAAUUUAUAUUGAGAAAAUAUAAUGUUUUAAAAGUAAUUAUUGAUAAGCUAUAUAAUUGAUAUAAUAAAAUUAUUCAAAUAAAAUAAAAAUUUUUGAAAGUCAAAAUGAAAUAAAUAUUAAUUAUACUUAUUAAAUUUUUUUUAGUUUUAAUGAUGAAAUUUUCUAAAUGAUCUUUAAUUUUAAUUAAUACUUUUUUAUCUCAUGCCUUUAUAAUUAUUUAGAAUUAAUCUCCCUUAUAAUUCCUUUCGUGUCUCAUUAAAAAUUAAAAAUUUGCUUCACGUCAAACUUGAAUGAAAUCCAUAAAUGUCCACUAAAAAAGUUUAUUUUUAUAUUUUAUUCUAUAAAAAAUAUAUAUUUCAUAGUACAUGAAAGCACUGUUAGCUUCAAUUCCCUAUGAACCAAAACAUUAUCAAUACGGUAAAAAUGCUCUUAUGAAGCUAAAGAAAAAAAUUCCUCUGUUGACAAUCUUAAAUGCAACCGACCUCACAAAAAUCAUCUCAAAAUUUUUUAUAAAUCAACCAUUUUAAAUUAGCCACAUGUCAAUGAAAAAAGCCACAAACGUGGCCAAGUGUGGAAGCCCCUUUGAAGCUUCCCUUUACUUAAGUUAUAGAUAUAUCUAUUUAUUGAAUCGAAAGUGUACAUUUAAUUUGAAAUAGAUCAUAGGAAAUGUAACAUGGGGUGAAAUUAUAAAGUGUUUUGUGAUCUUUAUUGAGAUUUCAUUUUUAUGUAAUGUAGAGAAACAAACUCAAUGAUGAACCAUGAUAGAGUUGAAUCAUUUCAUUUUCAUCACAGCUUGAACACGAACCAAUCUGGAAUCAAACCGUGGGGGUCUGUACCGAGGAAGGGUAUUACUAUUCUACCAUUUGAGUCCUUCCAACUUCACCUUGACAAAUUUAUCACCACGCAGCCCUAACCCCUAAAUCUGAUGAGGAAAAACCCAAAAUGCCUCUGUCCCAAAAUAUUUAAAUUACAUUUACAUAUUUUUUGUCAAUAAUGAUUUGCACUUUUUAAGUAUUAAUUACAUACAAGGGAGCCAAAUCAUAUUCAUCUUGUAAGAAAGAAAUGACAUGAUGCUUCAUUUAAAAAAAAAAAGAAGAAAUUAAAACUAAAUGUAACCUACCGCUAUAUAUAAAGUAUAAAUUAAUAACUUUUCUUUGAAAAUUAGAAAUUCAUAUCUGUCCAUGGCAUUCUCUUUCCAGAUUCCAAUUUCAUGGCAAAGUCUUUCCAUAUGUCUGAUCUCUACAUACUAUUGCAAUCCCAAAUCAGAAAUCAGGCUUUGAUAUCUUAUAAAGCUUUAUCCUGAUCUCACAAAAUAAAUGUUGUAGUAGUUGACAAGGUAAUUUGUUCUCUAUGUUCCUAUAUUACGAAUAAAUAACAGUUUACAGAAUUAAAUUUGACUCAAUAGUUCAUGUAUGUGUUCCCUUCAAAGAAUGAGAUUUGAAUUUCUUUUCUUCAAGAAAACAAAAGAAAGAAAAUGUUAUAAGAUUGUCAUUAUUUGCAACAACAUUCUCUGACAUCACAAGAAUUAAUCCUUCUUGAGCAAUUGGAGUUAAUAGGAGUUAAGAGGAUGUAAGACGACAUUUUGCAAAGAAUGGACCAUUUAGGUCCGGCACCUUCAAAAUUUUGCAUUUUUUCUCCCUUAAUUCCAAAUUCAAGUGCAUGACAAAAUAUGAUCAUAAAGUACAAAGAAGUCUUAAUGGAGACGGUUCAAAAUCUUAUUUCAAAUUAAAAAUAAAUUACAAACUUAAAUAAAGAUAAUGAGAUCAUAUAACAUAAUAUUGGGUAUUCUUAUUUUAAAUUAUAAUACAUAAUUCGUGUUUAUUAAAGAAAUUAAAACAAGUAACUUGCUAGUAAAGCAUAGGCCCUUCACAAUUUAACCAAUCAUAGGAACCCUGGUAACAAUCCCAUAGGUGUUAACCCAAACUCGAACCCUAGUGCACAAGAAAUCCGCUGUAACAAAUGAUCCUUCUAACACAAUCACAGCAUUGACACGAGGAUUCUCCUUCUCAAUUGUUGCUGCCGCAUCCUCCCCUUUCUUCCCCACAAGCUCAGGCCAAGAACUUUUCCCUACAUUUAUAGCCACAAG